rnacentral:sRNA from 1 species
UAUUUUGCCAAAUAAAUGCUGAAGAAUACUGAUUGUAGAGUUCUGCAACUCUUCAUUGUUCAUGAUCAGAAUUACAACAUUGCUUCUCAAUCAUGUCAGUGUCAUCACCAAUACACAUGCGUUUAGGUGCAGACCUACAAAUCACUUUCCUAGUAAUGUUAGAUUGUAUAGAUUUUGUUAAAGUAAGUCAAUGGUAUUUCAUCCUCCUGAGACCCUUAAAUAAUAACGUUUUCCAUUUAGAGUUAUCCAACCUAAAUACCAUUUUGGAAAUUAUUUCACUAGUUGUUUCAUUAAACCCUGGUUGUUUCUAUUUUGUUUGUAUAUUUAAAUUUAAUCUUGUUUUAGGAAGAAUUUAAGGUGCUUCAUACUCACUACUUAGAGACUGAUCUGACUCACCUAAUAAUAAGGUUAUAAUGGGAUAAUGAAUGUUGUUCAUGCUUAUUUAAAAAAAAUUUUUUUAAAUAAAGGCCAACAGAUACUAAGAUUACUUUCAAUAAGCAACAAAGUUUAAUGACUUGGUCUGAAUUCUGUCAGAGGAAUCAGUCAGUCCUUAACAUAAGGGACUGGGCCAAAAUCCAAACAACAAAAAGAUGAAUAUUCCUCCUGUUUCCUCAACACACACACGUGCAAACAAAUAUACAUUCCUAUGUACUUUUCAAUAUUUUUCUUGCAGCUUGGAAAAGUAUUUGUUUGUAUCCUAUGAAUAUAAAUGAACUUAUCAGAGGUAACUGACAUCAUAUUAUUAUUGAUGAAGGAAUUAAUCUAGAAAACUAAGAAAAAAAUGGCACAAACAUGGAGUUAAUAGGGGAAGCUGGUUUCCAGAAUAACUAAGAAUCAUGUAGAAUCCCUGGCGUUGAAGAUGAAAUGGUGGAGAAGGGAAAACCUUGCCCUUCACUCUCCUCACUCCUACUCACAGUCACAGAGUGCCUGAAGAAGAGUUUGGCACCACUGGUAGGAGAGAUCUGUAAGGCAACGGAAACAACUAAAUAGGAAAAGUGGUUUCUAGUUUUCCAGGAAAAUCCUGAGGAAAGAGUGCUAUUCUUAAGUUCUGUUCUAAAACAAGAUUAUUAAAUGUUAGCUUGUUUUACGUUUUGCUUAAAAAGAUAAUGUUCAAUAUUUAGAAAUCAAAGAAAGAUCACAGAUGUGCUAAGAAGAGGAAUCCUGUUAGGUUCAUCUGCUUUUAAGUCUCUGAUUUUUAGAAUUAGAACACUGGGAAGGAAUGUGCCAUACAGUGGCUGAGAUGGGCUCAGGCAGCAGCAAACCAUCACUGUGUAGCCAUUCUGCUUUUGGACACCAAAUAGCCAAUAUAGACCCCACAAGAAUUGGGUUGGGAAAACAACUUCCCAAAGAAUUGCACUCUAGGAUACAAUCUUGACUCUACCACUUAUAACUAUGAUUUGGGAAAGUUACUGUACCUCUCUGUACCUCAGUUUCCAUAUCUACAAAAUGGAAUGAUGACAUUUUACAUCUACUUCAUUAAGCUGUGAGAAUUAAGUAAGAUAACAUGUGGAAAGUAUCAAGGAUGGCAACUGAGACAUCAUAAGUAGCAAAUUAAUAUCAAGUAGCAGCAUUGGUAUUGCUAAUAGUAGUUGAUGUUUUCAUCUUGAUCCAUAAAAAUUUGAAAAUCAUAACUAUGUCCUGGUUGUUUCCACAUUAAGGAGAAAUUACGACAACUACGAGAUUGCAUUAUUGGGAAAAGGCCAGAAGAAGAAAAUGUCUAUAAUAAACUCACCAUUGUGCACCAUCCAAGUGGUAAGGAAACUGCCCACAAUGAAAAUAUGUUUUAUAAUGUACACUUCAGCAAUAAGCUACCUGCUCGACCCCAAGUUGAAAAGGAAUUUGGUUUCUGUUGCAAGAAAGAUCAUUAAAGAAGGUUAUUAUAAUGAAACUCACGAAUCUACGGACAUUUUGCUUUCAGGGUGAAGCAAGCUUGCAUUUGGAUUGCCUGCCCUCUUUAAAGCAAAUUCAUACUAUGAAAGCAGAAACAAACCUUCAGAUUUCAGAAUUUGUUAUUGGCAAAAUUUAUUUUCAUUAUACCUGCUUCAUAUGGGUAUAUUACUAUUAAAACAUACCAUAGAGUAAUUGC